AGAACGAACGCUGGCGGCAGGCCUAAUACAUGCAAGUCGAGCGCCCAGUAAUGGGAGCGGCAGACGGGUGAGUAACGCGUGGGAACGUACCUUUUGGUUCGGAACAACACAGGGAAACUUGUGCUAAUACCGGAUAAGCCCUUACGGGGAAAGAUUUAUCGCCGAAAGAUCGGCCCGCGUCUGAUUAGCUAGUUGGUGAGGUAACGGCUCACCAAGGCGACGAUCAGUAGCUGGUCUGAGAGGAUGAUCAGCCACAUUGGGACUGAGACACGGCCCAAACUCCUACGGGAGGCAGCAGUGGGGAAUAUUGGACAAUGGGCGCAAGCCUGAUCCAGCCAUGCCGCGUGAGUGAUGAAGGCCCUAGGGUUGUAAAGCUCUUUUGUGCGGGAAGAUAAUGACGGUACCGCAAGAAUAAGCCCCGGCUAACUUCGUGCCAGCAGCCGC
rnacentral:rRNA from 1 species